GCUCGUGUCGUGAGAUGUUGGGUUAAGUCCGUAACGAGCGCAACCCUUGUCCUUAGUUACCAGCACGUUAUGGUGGGCACUCUAAGGAGACUCGCCGGUGACAAACCGGAGGAAGGUGGGGAUGACGUCAAGUCAUCAUGGCCCUUAUGUCCUGGGCUACACACGUGCUACAAUGGCCGGUACAGAGUGAAGCGAAACCGCGAGGUGAAGCAAAACGCAGAAAGCCGGUCUCAGUACGGAUUGGAGUCUGAAACUCGACUUCAUGAAGUUGGAAUCGCUAGUAAUCGCGCAUCAGCAUGGCGCGGUGAAUACGUUCCCGGGCCUU
rnacentral:rRNA from 1 species